AACGAGCAGCAGAGCCGCCCAGCAGCAACCACAUUAGGAAGGAAUCGGAAACCAACGCUCCGCUGGCUGUCACCCCUUACCCACUUGCUGUCAGACCACAGCCUGAGGCAGCCAAACCCAUUUCCUUGGGGAUCCAGCGCAAACCAGAGAGUGUGGACAGGCCGAUGGAAGAAUGUUGGACCAGCUUUAAGAAUGGGCUGUUCUAAGUCAUGAAUAUUGUAGGAAGCAGCUCUAAGGACCACAGGGCUGGAGGGUGCACAGGAAGGGGCCAGUGCAUACAGGUGUCCAAACAGUGUCAUCCGGUGUCCUGACAUGCGGCCCCAAUGGACUGAUCCAGGGUGGAAAGGAAGAGUGAGAAGAAAUCAGACAGAAGAAUUCAGGAGAUGUGGCAACAGAGUGGAUGUAGCAGAAGGGACAUAGAGAGUGCCUAAAGAUGAGUCUUUGGUCAGCAUGUGAUGAAAAGAAUGAAGACACUGGGGAAGUGGGGAGCAGAAGCGGAUGUGGGCCCAGGAGGAAGAAGAUUCCAGAGAGCAGAGAUGGCAAAAAGAUGCAUGGAAGAGAGACACAGCAGGGUCGGGUUCUGGCCUCAGGAGCCAAGGGGGAAGUGCCUGAGGAGACCCCCAAAUGAGGCCUGUGUCAAUGAGGUCUUUAGGGGACUGGUUUCCAUGUAUGCCAGGCCAUACUCCCUGGAUUCCCAGCAUUGAGAAGACCAAACACUUCUACACAUUUAUUACUGAAGCCCCCUGCAAGCUGAAGGCGGAGGAAGUGGCCAAUCUCCUAAGCCGUGUGUGGCUGAGGCAGUUGUCAGAGCUGUGAUGAGGGAAAUGCUCAUUAUUCUUCUAUCCCUCACUUGGCCAAAUAAAGAACUUCUUAGAAUUCUUCCCCUGUGACAAAACGGGGCUGUGAUUUGGAAAGCCUCAGGCAAGUUUGCUAGGGCCGCGGUAACCAAGCACCACAGACUGGGUGGCUUCAAAACUGGACGGCUUCAACAGAAAGUUAUUGUUGCUCAGUUCUGGAAGCCAGAAGUCCAAAAUCAAGGUACUUGCAGGGUCAGUUCGAUCUGAGGGCUGCGAGGGAAGGAUCUGUUGUAGACCUCUCUCCUAGGUUUGCAGGCAUUGGUCCUGAUGUUCACAGGGCAUCCUUCCUGUGCCUUCACAUCAUCUUCUCUCUGAAUGUAUCUCUGGGUCCAAAUUUCCCUAUUUUAAAAUAAGGAAAUCAGUCCUAUUGGGUUAGCACCCCGCCCCUCACUUUAACUUGAUUACCUCUGUAAAGACCCUACCUCCAAAUAAGAUCACAUUCUGCGUACUGAGGGCUAGGACCUCAACAUCUGAAUUCAGGGUGGGUGGAUGCACAAUUCAUUCCAUAACAUUAAGAAGGAAGGGAUAAGUGCCCAAGGAAUCACAUGCUCGCUUGGGGAGAGUUCCAAGCGUGCAGAGCUGGUGGUCAUAGCCUAGCCUCAGGCCUUCGGAAAUCCCCUGAAUCUGGUUUUCCCAGUUCUCAUAAUCUCAUUUCACCAAAAUACGGCAUCUCAAUACAUUCCAUGCAUUUCUGGUGACAAGCUCAUUCUGGUGCACGCUAAGCAAUGUGCUAACUACGUCUUAACUAGGGUGGUUUAACUGGUUUGGUUAACAUAGAUCUCUGAGUCAUUUCACGCAUUCCUUAAGCCUAAACAAAUCUCAUCCAGGUGUUUAAGACAUUGCACAAUAUUAGACCAUCUGAAGCUCCAUCUCCUUGGGGCAAUGAUGAUGAUGGUGAUGAAAGUGGCUGGUGACUGUUCUCAGUCUCAUCGCCAUAAUGGAACCCUACGUUGUGUUCCUCCACACUGGUGUGAGGGACACUACUAAGUGCGGCAGAGUUUGCACUCAGGAUAGAGAAAUAUGGACUCACGCACAGAUUCCAGCUGAGUCCCUCCGAUGUGCUAGGUACUAUGUCCAGCCCCCCAGGAUUCACCUGUAAGCAGGACAGUCUUUUGGAUGACAGAGGGAAUUCUCAUAUAUCCACAGGCAGAUGGAAUUUACAAGUGGAAAGACCUAGAAGUUCAGAGACAGGGGGACUGAACUUUUUGCUUUCAGUCAGAAUCUUUGCUUACGGUUGUGCAAAUGCUUGCAUUGGUGGGUUUCCAUGCCAUAUAACGUGCUACAUAUUUUUACGUUACCCUUGCACAUAAGCAUACUGUUGGGAGGGAAAAUGAAGAGGGUGGAGGUGGUAACAAACUCAAGCUAAGGAAAUGGAAUUUGGAUGGGUACAAAGUCCAGAGAAUUAGCUUGAGGAAAAUGAACCAGGAUUCACACAGGAGUUUUCAAACAUCUCAAUAUCAGGACCCCUUUACCCUCUUAAAACUUACUUCGUGAGGACCUUAAAGAGCUUUUGUUUGUGUGACUUAUAUGUAUUAAUAUUUACUAUAUUAGAAAUUAAAAGUAAGGAAUGGUUGU
rnacentral:lncRNA from 1 species